AUUUCUUGCUAGGCCAGCAGGAGCCAGGCCGUGGCCUGCUGACUGCAUCUGCCAGAUGACUACCAAUGUUUUUAUAGAUUGAGAGGAACUACGCUCAAGGAGCCUCAUGCAUACCUGGACCUGAUUUAAAUGAUGAGAUGCUGGACUUCAAGCAGAUGCUGUAAUGAUAUGAGGUUCUCAGGGACCUUGGGAAAUAGUAAAUGUAUUUUGUGUGUGAGAGGGACACAAAUCAUUGGAGGCCAAAAGGGUGAACUGAGGACAGAUGCUAGGGUAGCUCCCACAAUCCCCACCUCCUGGUUUCACCCUUGUGGGAUCUCGCCAUGAGUGUGGAUGGAACCUGUGAUUUGCUUCUAACUAGUAGAAUUUGGCAAAAAAUGAUGAGAUAUAUGUGAUUAUGUUUACAUGAUUAUAUUAUAUAAGAUUCUGAGUACAUUGAGCUGCAUAGAGAGAGCACGGGGGCAAGUGAGAGCCAGGUGGGUACUGGAAAGCUCUGUGCCUCACUGAGGAAAAAUAACUAAACAUGGGCAAAAGAGAUCCAUGGAACCUGAGAGGCAAGGUGUUAUUAUAUGCAUUCU
rnacentral:lncRNA from 10 species